rnacentral:misc_RNA from 1 species
GUGCUCAAACUCAGCUAUCUGCAGUUGCUGCCCCUGCAGCAAAGAAAGGUACGAAAAGGUACAAGUCAACCGUAUCAAAUCCGUACCAGACCCUCGCUACUGCUCUUGAACCACCUUCUGAAGAUGAUGAGGCCGAGCCAGAUGAUCAAGUGGCUGACCAACCACCUCCGGCCCCUGUUAUUAAACUGCCUAGGAAGAAAAUGGUGCCUACAAAAUCCACUCGCAGGAGUAAACGACUUAAAUAGCAUCUCAUCUGGA